UACGUAGGGUGCAAGCGUUGUCCGGAAUUACUGGGCGUAAAGAGCGCGUAGGCGGUUUGUAAAGUUGGGAGUGAAAUCCCGGGGCUUAACCUCGGAACUGCUUUCAAAACUUACAGGCUAGAGAGUGUUAGGGGGUGAUGGAAUUCCUGGUGUAGAGGUGAAAUUCUUAGAUAUCAGGAGGAACACCGGUGGCGAAGGCGAUCACCUGGGACAUAUCUGACGCUAAGGCGCGAAAGCGUGGGGAGCAAACAGG
rnacentral:rRNA from 1 species